rnacentral:rRNA from 1 species
GGCUGCAGUAUAUUGACUGUACAAAGGUAGCAUAAUCAUUAGUCAUUUAAUUGAUGACUUGUAUGAAGGAUUGGAUGAAAUAUAAACUGUCUCUUAAUUAUUGAAUAGAAUUUAAUUUUUUAAUUAAAAAGUUAAAAUAUAUUAAAAAGACGAGAAGACCCUAUAGAUUUUUAUAAAAAAUUUAGUUAAUAUUAUUUAUGAAAAAUUAAAAUUAAAAUUAAAUUUAUUUAUUGUAUUGGGGUGAUAGAAAAAUAUAAAAAACUUUUUAUAUAUUAAAACAUUUAUAAGUGGUUAAAUGAUCCAAUAUUAUUGAUUAUAAGAAAAAAUUACCUUAGGGAUAACAGCGUAAUUUUUUUUUUUAGUUCGUAUAAGAAAAAGAGUUUGCGACCUCGAUGUUGGAUUAAGAUAAAAUUUAAAUGCAGAAG